UCAGUGGCGAACGGGUGAGUAACACGUAGGGAACCUGCCCAUGCGCCCGGGAUAAUUUCUGGAAACGGAAACUAAAACCGGAUAGGUAAUAUCUUCGCAUGAGGAUAUUAUUAAAGGAGCCUCAAAGCUCUGAGCAUGGAUGGACCUGCGGUGCAUUAGCUAGUUGGCGGGGCAACGGCCCACCAAGGCGAUGAUGCAUAGCCGACCUGAGAGGGCGAACGGCCACAUUGGGACUGAGACACGGCCCAAACUCCUACGGGAGGCAGCAGUAGGGAAUUUUCGUCAAUGGGGGGAACCCUGAACGAGCAAUGCCGCGUGAGUGAAGACGGUCUUCGGAUUGUAAAGCUCUGUUGUGCGGGACAAAUGAUGCAUAUAGGAAAUGAUGUGCAUGUGAUGGUACCGCACCAGAAAGUCACGGCUAACUACGUGCCAGCAGCCGCGGUAAUACGUAGGUGGCGAGCGUUAUCCGGAAUGAUUGGGCGUAAAGGGUGCGUAGGCGGCAAGGUAAGUCUGAAGUCAAAGCCGGCAGCUCAACUGUCGUACGCUUUGGAAACUGCCUGGCUGGAGUGCAGGAGAGGGCAAUGGAACUCCAUGUGUAGCGGUAAAAUGCGUAGAUAUAUGGAAGAACACCAGUGGCGAAGGCGGUUGCCUGGCCUGUAACUGACGCUGAAGCACGAAAGCGUGGGGAGCAAAUAGGAUUAGAUACCCUAGUAGUCCACGCCGUAAACGAUGAGAACUAGGUGUUGGGGGAACAACUCAGUGCCGCAGUUAACGCAGUAAGUUCUCCGCCUGGGGAGUAUGCACGCAAGUGUGAAACUCAAAGGAAUUGACGGGGGCCCGCACAAGCGGUGGAGUAUGUGGUUUAAUUCGAAGCAACGCGAAGAACCUUACCAGGUCUUGACAUCCCGGGCAAAGGUAUAGAGAUAUACUGGAGGCUAUCCCGGUGACAGGUGGUGCAUGGUUGUCGUCAGCUCGUGUCGUGAGAUGUUGGGUUAAGUCCCGCAACGAGCGCAACCCUUGUCGCAUGUUACUAACAUCAGGUUGAGGACUCAUGCGAGACUGCCGGUGACAAACCGGAGGAAGGUGGGGAUGACGUCAAAUCAUCAUGCCCCUUAUGACCUGGGCUACACACGUACUACAAUGGCGUCUACAGAGGGAAGCGAAUCCGCGAGGAUGGGCAAAACUCAUAAAGGGCGUCUCAGUUCGGAUUGAAGUCUGCAACCCGACUUCAUGAAGCUGGAAUCGCUAGUAAUCGCGAAUCAGCAUGUCGCGGUGAAUACGUUCUCGGGCCUUGCACUCACCGCCCGUCAA
rnacentral:rRNA from 1 species